CCACCAAGCGGGUCGCGCGGUUCUCGGGGCGGCAGCGGGCGGAGGCGGGGCUGGGUGGGGAAGCAAGCGCGUGGCGGCUGACCUACAGAAGCUGGCAGGUCGCGGGCUGAACCUCCUCGCUCGCGGGACCACCGACGGGCGGCUGCGAGGGUUGCGGCGGCGGCUACACGGUCUGAUCCUGGCUUAUCUGCAAGAGAUCCAAAGCCGAGUCCCUUCCAUUGUGGCGCCAAGGACAGUGCGGGCAGCGGGGGCCAGGCCGGUGCUCCAGCCUCCACCUCGCCUGACCUGACCCUCCAUCCAGCCCUCGCCAAAACCUUCCCAUAGCGUAAUAUCCUUUUCCUAUUAACCCUUGCCAAAAUCUUCCCAUAGCGUUAAUAUAGUGUCCUUUUCCAACCAGCCCUUGCCAUAACCUUCCGAUAGCAUUAGUAUAAUGUGCCUCUCCUACCAGCGUUUGUCAAUAAAAAUACUCUCUCUUUGC